GCAGGGGCGGUUCAGUGGUAGGAUUCUUGCCUGCCAGACGGGAGGCCCGGGUUCAAUUCCCGGCCCUGCA
rnacentral:tRNA from 1 species